rnacentral:rRNA from 1 species
CGUAGGUGGCAAGCGUUGUCCGGAUUUACUGGGCGUAAAGAGCGCGCAGGCGGUCGUUCAAGUCGCGUGUGAAAGCCCCCGGCUCAACUGGGGAGGGUCACGCGAUACUGGUCGACUCGAAGGCAGGAGAGGGUAGUGGAAUUCCCGGUGUAGUGGUGAAAUGCGUAGAUAUCGGGAGGAACAACCAGUGGCGAAGGCGACUACCUGGCCUGUUCUUGACGCUGAGGCGCGAAAGCUAGGGGAGCAAACGGGAUUAGAUACCCCGGUAGUCCUAGCCGUAAACGAUGGACACUAGGUGUUGGUGGUAUCAACCCCGCCAGUGCCGAAGCUAACGCAUUAAGUGUCCCGCCUGGGGAGUACGGCCGCAAGGCUA